AGAUUACUGCCAAAAAAAAUGGAAUAAAUGAUGAUGGAAAAUUCGAAGGCCUCAACAAAUUCAAACUGUUGCACAUCAAACGGAACGCAUGUCAAUGUGCCACACAUUACGUAGCCACAAAAAGUGGGAAAAAAUGAAGGAAAAUACCACAGCCAGACGUCGGCAUUUUAAUAUGAGUGCCUCGCCAGCAUGAGAGUCUUGCCUGCAUUCGCUCAUUGUUUAUAUUCGCUUUUAAUAACACUUUUUUUAUGCGACCGACUUAAGCACCGCCAUAUUCCUCGCCGGACCCCUGAAUUAUGCCGAGCUUUUAAUGGCAAGGCCAGACGGGGAGGUCCUAACAAGUAACACAUAUUUUCCGAGGACACUGCCGCUAAGAUCAACUUGAAAGCUGAGUAGAUCUUAGUCUCUGUUCAAUCAAAGGACAUAAGAAGUUUAAAGUUUAUUACAAGCCAUCCUUUCAUGUCUCAAUUAUGAAGAGUGUUUCUUGAAAUCAGCCAUCAAUUAAAAUUAAAUCCCUGCAUCCUACAAAGUGACAAAUUAAUUUAUUUUGAGAUAAAUUUUGCAUAGGCUUUAAAUGCUUUUAUUUUUGGCAUUUUAAAUAAACAUGUUUCCGGAUUUCCUUUUCAUGGAAAACGAAAACUGCAA